rnacentral:rRNA from 1 species
CCACGGGGCUGCAGUGGGGAAUAUUGGACAAUGGGCGAAAGCCUGAUCCAGCCAUGCCGCGUGUGUGAAGAAGGCCUUCGGGUUGUAAAGCACUUUCAGUGGGGAAGAAAGCCUUGGGGCUAAUACCCUCGAGGAAGGACAUCACCCACAGAAGAAGCACCGGCUAACUCCGUGCCAGCAGCCGCGGUAAUACGGAGGGUGCGAGCGUUAAUCGGAAUUACUGGGCGUAAAGCGCGCGUAGGCGGUCUGAUAAGCCGGUUGUGAAAGCCCCGGGCUCAACCUGGGAACGGCAUCCGGAACUGUCAGGCUAGAGUGCAGGAGAGGAAGGUAGAAUUCCCGGUGUAGCGGUGAAAUGCGUAGAGAUCGGGAGGAAUACCAGUGGCGAAGGCGGCCUUCUGGACUGACACUGACGCUGAGGUGCGAAAGCGUGGGUAGCAAACAGGAUUAGAUACCCCAGUAGUC